GGUUUAUUUACCUCACAGUUUGUGGAAGUUUUAGUCCAUAAUCAGCUGCUCCAACACAGGGUAGUAUGGCAGAGGGGCAUCCCAGAGGAGAACAGUUCAUGGCAGCCACAAGGUAGCAAAAGCAAUAGGGAUGACCAUAGCUUGCUCUUCCCCUUUUAUUUUAUUCAUACUACUUAGGGUGGGUAGCACUCACAUCCUUAAUCCUAGUGCCGUCAGGCCUAACAUUAUACCAUGAAUUAAUCACACACUCUAGAUUCAGAUGCCUCUGAAAAAGCUCCAUCUAACACUGCAUGAGGCUUUGGGGGACAUCUAGAUAGAAGAAAUAACACUCCUCAAACUUUUUUUUUGAGACAGAAUCUCUCUACAUAGCCCAGGCUGGCCUAGAACUAUUGGCAAUCCUCCUACUUCUGCCUCCUGAGUGCUGGGAUUACAGAUGUGUGCCACUCCACUCCACUUGGACUCCUCAAACCUCUACAAAAAGCAGACAGAAAACAAUCCAUCAACAAACGCAAGCUACUUUUCAUGAAAAAGGAAGUGUUCUAUUGGGAUCCAAAAUGUCCCCUGAAAGGCUCAUCAUGUUGAAGGCCUGGCUGUCAUCUGAUGGCCUCCAGGGGACUAAUUGGAUCAUCAAGGUUCUAACUUUAUCAAGAGGACUGAUCCACUAGACUGAUGGGGCUGUUAGGAGGUGGGGCCCAAUUGGAGUAGGUAGGUCACUGAGAGGACGCCUUCGAAGGGUCUAUCUUGUCCCUUACCCCUUCCUCUCUGGCUCUUUCACACUCUCUGCUUGCUGGCUGCCAUGGGAUAAGCAAUUUUCCUCCACCACAUCCUUCUGCCAUGAUGUUUCUGCCUCACCACAGGCCUAAAAGUAAUGGAAACAGCUUACCAUGGACUGAACACUCUGCAACCAUGAGGAGCACUAAAACUAUUUCUUUAUGUUGUUUCUCUCAGGUGUCUUGCCCCACACUGAUGGAAAGCUAACACAGAAACAUGACACAGAAUCAAGAGCCCAGAGAGCAGAAGUGAGGGUGGUGGAGAAUUGUUCCUAAACCUGGAGAAUGGGUUGCAGCAUUCCUUUGGACUAAUGAGUUAUUUAUGCCUCCUAUUUUCCCCAAUUUUUUUCCCGGUACUGGGGAUCGAACUCAGGACCUUGCGCUUUCGGGGUAGGCGUGGCACCACCUAGCUAAAUCUCCUGCCCUUCCCCAAUUUUGAAAGCAAGAACAUCUGUAAUGGUUACAGAUGUAAUAGUACAGGUGUAAUGUAGUAGUACACUCACCCACAAUUGUACAUUGGAUGCAUGGGGCAGAUAACUUAUCUCUAGUUGUAGAGGUCUACAUGUCGAGAAGAAUGUACUCUCGAAGCUGAAUUUAAGGAACUAUGCUCAGGAAGUCUCAUCUACAUCUGAUGAGACCUAAUUUGGAAGACAAAAUUCUGCACUUGAAGUUGAUGCUACAACUAUAAGGAUAUUAAUACAUAAAACUACAUGAAUUUUUAAAAAAUAACAUUUGGGAACGUUGGAUGGGAGCAAGUGUGGUUUGCAUGUUGGAAGGACAUGAAGCUUUAGGCAGAGGGGAGACUGCAGUUGCUGCCUGGCCUUCAAGAUACCCCCAGUGACCUCCACCCCCUUGUGUUUACACUCCUGGUUUUUCCCUCCUGCUGAGUGUGUAAAUGCUCAUCAUAAAUAGGAAAGGAAGGAGCGAUAGUUUGUGACUAGGAGGUUAGUCCAUAAAAGCUACCAUGACAUUCUUUCCUCUCCAAGCACUUGUUCCAGGGAAAACCAGCUGCCUUGUUUGCAGUAGCUUUAUGGAGAAGCCCACUUAGCCAGGAACUGAGGCCUUGGUCCAAAAGCUAGGGGAGAGCUUCUCUCCGACGAGCUCACGAGUAAGGCAUUUUGGAGAUGGGUCCUCCGGCCCUGUCAGAGCACAGAGCGACUGCAGCCCCAGCUCCUAAACUUCAUUCUGCCCUCAUUCAGAGCUUGGCCCAAGGAGCAGUUCUGCGGAGCAGCGGCAGGUGGCGCUGGCGACCUGGAAGUGCCUGGGUCUCCGGUGUGGCUGCCCAGCUGGAAGACAUCACUAAUCCAAUCAUCUACAGGUUCAAUUGGGAAAUGACCACUACUUGUCUUCCAAGCAGGACAGGGGAGAAACAUUUAGCAGGUUAAAUAUUUUGUUUAGAAACAUUCCAUCAGCAACCCGUAUCUAUCAGCAGACACGUAGAUAAGCAAACGAGUUGUAUGCACUCUGCAGAAUAUUACUCAGCCAGAAAAAGGAAGGGAAUUUUUCUUUCUUUGGUACCGGGAUCAAACUCAGGACCUCGAGCUUUCGAGGCAGGCAGCAGCACCACUGAGCUAAAUCCGCAGCCCUAGGAGGGGAAUUUUGAAGCCUACUACAAUACAGUCAAGCCCAAGGACGUUAUGCUGAAUGAAAUAAGCCAGUCACAAAAGGACAAACCCCAUGUGCCUCCACUCAUGGGCGAUUCCUACAGGAUACAAAUUCAUAGAGACCAAAAGUGAAAUAAGGAUCGCCAAGGGCUUGAGGGGAGGGGCUGUUAGAGUUCUGUUACCAUCAGCUGUUAAUAGGGGGCCAGGAUUUAGCUCAGUGGUGCCAUCUGCUUCCCAAGCGCAAGGCUGGGAGGUCUCUUCGACCCCCGGUAGCAAAAAAACACCCCCAAAACCAAUCAGCUGUUGACACUACUGAGGCUCUUGGAGAUGGUUAAGGUGGUAAAUAUAUAAAGUUAUGAGUUUUUACCAUGAUAAAAAACAAUUCUCACUGGCAUGGUGACACAUGCCUGUAAUCGGGAGGGCUGAGGCAGAAGGAUCACCGUGGGUUCGAGGCCAGAUGGGACAACUUAGUGAGACACUGUGUUAAAAUUAAAAAACCAAAAGGGCUGGGAUGCAGCUGAGUACUCCCUAGUUCAAUCCCUAGCUACCCUUUGUGGACAGUAACAAGGUGGCAUGCGUGCUGUUUUGACUUGGGCUCUGCUUCGAAAGGACCAGGCACCAGGCGUCCCGGGAGGUGGCAGGACUUCGUCCCUGAGGGCUGAGGUGUCUGCAUCCUGCUCAGGGUGCUGGACUGUGGCAGGCUGGGCUGGUGGAGCGGGGUCAGUGGCUACAGAGUCCCCAGAGCCUCUCAGUGUCCUGCGGAGCCAGGUUCAGAGCUGCAGAGCUGGGACUUUGCCUGCAGCCCUGCUGUGCACCAUGGGGCUCGGGGCGGGGGGGUCCCCAUGUUGGUGUUGCUGCCCGAGUCCGGGCCCCAGGGCCCUGCACCCCGCUCUGAGUGCAGCCGGGCUCCAAGCUGACCAGGCUUGUGGCAGCGUCCUGGGCUUGGCCUCUCUCCAGAGCUAAGAAGCAGGUUGUUUGUCAUCUGCAGGAUGUUG
rnacentral:lncRNA from 1 species